UCAGUACCACAUGCUUCAACUAAGGAGAGCACAAACAUCCACUUUAAUAAUCAGUUUCAGCACAGUUAGAGCAGAAAGGUCUGCACACUAAUUCAUCUGCUACUGGUGUGUUUCCUAACAAGACAUCAGCCUGUUAUCUGGAGAGAGCUGGCUAGCGAAUGUAGCUACCCAGCAUUUAUUGACAGAUUGAACAAAGUAAAAUCUGAGCACUGUUCUGUCGACUCCCGAGGCUUCACCUCUCAUAACCAGAGGUGAUAUCUCAUCAACAAACGCAUACCAAGAGCUCAGUUCAGCGUGCUGAGUCUAUUAUCAGUCUGUUCCUCUUGUACAUGUGGCUGUUAAAUUCACUACUAGAUAGCCUGAGCCAGCUAGCCACAUGGAGACGAGCAGAGACAACUGAAAUCAGGACAGUCUCUUACAGGGCAGCACAUGUUCAUUUGGUGCACUUAUUCACGCCACAGUCUACAGGAUUGGCGUGACUCAAGACAGCUAAUGUAGCCAGUUCUCAUCACUGUUACUUUUGACUGAAAGUAACCUUUGUGCGUGUUGUAAUAACUUGGUUUUCAUGAUGUAGACAUUUUAUACAUCAUGCAAAACAAACAUUAGAAUGAAUUGAAUGAAUUCACUAUAUCGCCCAGCUCUACUCUGACUAGUAAAAUGUGGAGGAAAAUGUGUGUUGUCCUUAAAAAUCCUCAUAGGUGACAAUAUCUAGACAAUCACAAGGAUUUUUUUCUAGCCAUGAUGAGUGGAAGACAAUCAUGUAGCCCUGUGCUGUAUCUAAUUUUCCUUAACAGCCACGAAAAACAAAAAGGUUCCUGAUAACUGAAUUAACCUUGUACUACAGGGACAAAGAAUGUCACCAAUAUUUUAGCCAACAUGAUGCCAGAAUAAACAGCAGGGUUUUCCAUACCAUUACUAUAUUGCCUGUUAACGAAUGAAUGACUCUACAGUCUACACCUGUGCCAAAUGUUUAAGUGCAAGAGUCCAUUUUAUUUAUUGUUUUGGUUGUUUGAUUUUGUUUAUGUUUUUAUUUAGGAUGUUUUAAUAUUUUUUUCACAUUCCACUUCCAAUGUAUGAAUAUUCUUAAGGAUUUUAAGUUAAUUAAAAGGGUGUACUUGGAUUAUUACACAAUUAUUUCUGGGACAACAUAUCGUCUGACAAAAGUAGUUAUCAUGACAGGCCUAAUUGGCCAUAAUUCUCACUUUAAGAGUUGAGGCACUCAAAUACUGGCAUAAUGUCAAUAAGAAAAAAUAAACAACACAAAAUGUCAGUAAUGUUAUAGUCAGCCUCUAGUUCCCCGUGUGCUCCAAUAUGUUUCCCCUCCUUGUGUUUCCUGGCUGUCCCCUGUUCGUUCCUGUGUAUGGUGUGUAUGUGUGUGUGUGUGUGUGUGUGUGUGUGUACGUUUUGGUCUGGCUUCCUGAUCCUCUGCCUGCUGAGAUCACCGGCACACCUGUCUUCAAUCACUCAUCAGUCUCCACUGCAUAUCUACCAGGCUCUCCCACACUACCAGCGCCAGAUCGUCUCCGUACUCACUUACUCUCCGCCGGUGAUCUCAGCCACAGUCUGUCCUUGGACCUCACGCCACGCUACACGAGCUAGCUGCCACACCUGCCCUGCCGACCUCACCCCCGGAGCCUGCCGCCAAUCGGAUCCACAGCCUGGACGGCUCAGCCCAGAUCCACCACGCCUGCCAGACCAGAACCUGUCGUAUUCAGUCUCCCUCCAGCGCGUCGCCUCUCCUUCCUCGACCCGGGCCGGUCGAGUCCACGGAAGCGACAGUGAACUACGUCGGACUUCUGCACAGAUAUCAAGUUUAACAUCUAAAUAAAUCUGUUGCUAUAA